UGGGGAAUAUUGGACAAUGGGCGCAAGCCUGAUCCAGCCAUGCCGCGUGAGUGACGAAGGCCCUAGGGUUGUAAAGCUCUUUCACCGGUGAAGAUAAUGACGGUAACCGGAGAAGAAGCCCCGGCUAACUUCGUGCCAGCAGCCGCGGUAAUACGAAGGGGGCUAGCGUUGUUCGGAUUUACUGGGCGUAAAGCGCACGUAGGCGGACUAUUAAGUCAGGGGUGAAAUCCCGGGGCUCAACCCCGGAACUGCCUUUGAUACUGGUAGUCUUGAGUUCGAGAGAGGUGAGUGGAAUUCCGAGUGUAGAGGUGAAAUUCGUAGAUAUUCGGAGGAACACCAGUGGCGAAGGCGGCUCACUGGCUCGAUACUGACGCUGAGGUGCGAAAGCGUGGGGAGCAAACAGG
rnacentral:rRNA from 1 species